AUGCAGCAUCAAUGUGGCUGCAGUGUCUGCAAUUCCUUACAGUAGCAAGGUUACAACGAAAUUGGAACUUAAAUUCAUGCCAAAGUAUACGUGUUGCUCUGGAGUUAUAAAUUGCCUAAGAUAUUAACUCCCCCAAGAUACGGUGGUCAAUGGUGAAGAAUUAGCAAGCACAUAUUGCCGCAUUCUUUUAACAACCGAAGUGAUAUGAUAGCGUGGAGCUCACGAAAUGUAAGUGGAGAAGUGAAGCAAUUAGAAAGCAAUUGGAUGAUUUAAUUGCAUCAUUACAUAUUGCCGCAGGUGAAAUUCUGCAAAUCAAAGACUGGAACUUUGGGUUCCCUUUCAAGACCAUCUCUAUACAGCAACGCAGUAAGGGGAGAAGCAAUCUUUGCAUAAUCGCGGAUGAAGCGACAGUAGAAUGUACCAGUUCAGUCGUCUAAGUUUUUGGUAUAUUAAUUUUUUUAAUGCAUGUUAAAACAUCAGUGUCUAUUGAUAUAUUUUGAAGACU